GUUCAGAACGCGUCGCACUUGUAAUGCGAAGAUCCCUAGUUCAAUUCUGGGUUUGUACG
rnacentral:tRNA from 1 species